ACUGCUCAGUAACACGUGGAUAACCUGCCCUUGGGUCCGGGAUAACCCCGGGAAACUGGGACUAAUACCGGAUAGAUCAAAGAUACUGGAAUGUUCUCUGGUCCAAAACUUCGGUGCCCAAGGAUGGGUCUGCGGCCUAUCAGGUUGUAGUGGGUGUAACGUACCUACUAGCCUACGACGGGUAAGGGUUGUGAGAGCAAGAUCCCUGAGAUGGAUUCUGAGACAUGAAUCCAGGCCCUACGGGGUGCAGCAGGCGCGAAAACUUUACACUGCGGGAAACCGCGAUAAGGGGACCCCGAGUGCCAGCACCUAGUGCUGGCUGUCCAGCUGUCCAAAUAACAGUUGUUAGCAAGGGCCGGGCAAGACCGGUGCCAGCCGCCGCGGUAACACCGGCGGCCCGAGUGGUAGCCGCUAUUAUUGGGUUUAAAGGGCCCGUAGCCGGCCUAUUAAGUCUCUUGGGAAAUCUGGCGGCUUAAUCGUCAGGCGUCCAAGAGAUACUGGUAGGCUUGGGACCGGGAGAGGUGGGAGGUACUCCAGGGGUAGGGGUGAAAUCUCGUAAUCCUUGGGGGACCGCCGAUGGCGAAGGCAUCCCACCAGAACGGGUCCGACGGUGAGGGACGAAAGCUGGGGGCACGAACCGGAUUAGAUACCCGGGUAGUCCCAGCUGUAAACGAUGCUCGCUAGGUGUCAGGUGCGGUGCGACCGCAUCUGGUGCCGCAGUGAAAACUUGAAGCGAGUCACCUGGGAAGUACGGUCGCAAGGCUGAAACUUAAAGGAAUUGGCGGGGGAGCAC
rnacentral:rRNA from 1 species